AACAACUUCCCUCCAGUUCUCCUUGUGUUCCUCUGUCGAGUGUUCUUAUUCAUUGCAUUUGUGAAAAAAGGAAUUCUCUGGGCCAGCACAAAGCAUCUGCUGCUUCUAUCCAGGCAAAGAAAGAUGGUGGCAUGGGGUUUUUAUUUACUGAAGGCUGGGACGAACGCAGAGCUAAGUGUGCAUUCCUGGUGCUCCUGGCUUUGUAGUUGUUACAGAUGCUGUUGUCCUGCUAGGAGCAGAAGCCCUUCACAGAAUGCAGAAAUCAAUGCCUGCGCCUCAGCCUUGCUCUUACGGGUUAGUAAAUGAAAAGGGUGUUUUAGAAGCACUAUGAACUCACCCUGAAGUUCUCAAGUAAUCAGGAACUGCCACUCUCCCCUUCUCUUCUACAAAGGAAAUGCAAAUACAUGAGAAUCUUGAAUCAGGAAAUAUUUUCGUUGCAGCAGAA
rnacentral:lncRNA from 1 species